rnacentral:rRNA from 2 species
GAUUAGAAUUUGAGGUCUAACCUGCCCACUGAAUUAUUAAAUGGCCGCAGUAAUUUGACUGUGCAAAGGUAGCAUAAUCAUUAGUUUUUUAAUUAAAAGCUUGUAUGAAUGGUUGGACGAGAUAAAUACUGUCUUAAAAUAAUAAAUAGAAUUUAAUUUUUAAGUUAAAAAGCUUAAAUAUUUAUAAAAGACGAGAAGACCCUAUAGAUCUUUAUAUUAUUAUAUAUAUGUUUAAUUAAGAUUAUUUUAUUAUUUAUAUUUAAUAGUAUUUUAUUGGGGUAAUAAAAAGAUUAAAUUAAUUCUUUAUUUAUUAAAAUAUUAAUUAAUAGAUUUUUGAUCCUUUAUUAGAGAUUAUAAGAUUAAGUUACCUUAGGGAUAACAGCGUAAUUUUUUUAAAGAGUUCAUAUCGAUAAAAAAGUUUGCGACCUCGAUGUUGGAUUAAAAAUUAUUCUAGGUGUAGUAGUUUAGAAUUUUGGUCUGUUCGACCAUUAAAUUUUUACAUGAUCUGAGUUCAGACCGGCGUAAGCCAGGUCGGUUUCUAUCUUUAUUUAGUUAAUAUAUUUUAGUACGAAAGGACCAAAUAUAAAUUAUAAUUAUAAUUAAAAUUUUGAAUUAUA